CCUACGGGUGGCAGCAGUGAGGAAUAUUGGUCAAUGGUCGCGAGCCUGAACCAGCCAAGUCGCGUGAAGGAGGACUGUCCUACGGGUUGUAAACUUCUUUUAUAAGGGAACAAAGUGUGGUACGCGUGCCUUUUUGUAUGUACCUUAUGAAUAAGCAUCGGCUAACUCCGUGCCAGCAGCCGCGGUAAUACGGAGGAUGCGAGCGUUAUCCGGAUUUAUUGGGUUUAAAGGGUGCGUAGGCGGUCUGUUAAGUCAGCGGUAAAAUUGCGGGGCUCAACCCCGGCGAGCCGUUGAAACUGGCAGACUUGAGUUGGCGAGAAGUACGCGGAAUGCGCGGUGUAGCGGUGAAAUGCAUAGAUAUCGCGCAGAACUCCGAUUGCGAAGGCAGCAUACCGGCGCCAGACUGACGCUGAGGCACGAAAGCGUGGGUAUCGAACAGGAUUAGAUACCCGAGUAGUC
rnacentral:rRNA from 1 species